CUCCAAAACAAACAACUGAAGCAGGAACUUGGAGUAACCAAUGGGAUAUCUGAUGAAGGAAAGAGAAGAGUAGAAGGCAGAUGGAAGGAGGACCAUGACCUCUCUCAUUUCUCAUUCACAUUAAUAUCAUCCGCUGAAUGCGAAGGUUCUUCAUCUCGGAUUUAUUACUCGGUAAAUGAUAGCUCAUCUGUUUGCUAUAUCUAGCAAUUUUUUUGUUCUUCGUAAUAGCAUUGUAUCAAAAUAAUCUAGGCUCUUCUCAUUGUCAUAACCAUUUCCAUUGAGGAAUGGGGGAUUCGCAUGGUUACUUUAAUUGAGAGCACAAUGUUUGCCAGAGGGCUUAGAGUCUGCAGUCCCGUUGCAAAUGAUCAUGGUCCCCUCCACACACUCUGCCUCUUCACUGGCAGAACAGCAGCAAUCAUUGCAUUAUCCUCCCCGUGGCCAUGACAAUGAGCAGAGAAUUUACCAUAAAAAGAUGGAGGGAAGGAGUGAAAAGUUUCUUUAUUUUUGAAGGACUAUCGGUAUGAUAUUUCAAUUGCGAGGAGAAAAUGCAAUAAAUGCCACUGUCACCAUCAUUUAAAUCAAAAGCAGUGGUGAAAGUAAAUGGCCAGAUGGAUAGAC